GUGUCAGCAGCCGCGGUAAUACGUAGGGGGCGAGCGUUGUCCGAAGUUACUGGGCGUAAAGCGCGCGUAGGCGGGGGGUUAAGUGAGAGGUGAAAGGCUGGGGCUCAACCUCAUGCAGUGCCUCUCAUACUGGCCUUCUUGAGGGCGGUAGGGAGAAGUGGAAUGGCUGGUGUAGCGGUGAAAUGCGUAGAUAUCAGUCGGAACACCGGUGGCGAAGGCGGCUUCUUGGGCCGUUCCUGACGCUGAUGCGCGAAAGCUGGGGGAGCGAACGGGAUUAGAUACCCCCGUAGUCC
rnacentral:rRNA from 1 species